GACGAACGCUGGCGGCGUGCUUAACACAUGCAAGUCGAACGGAAAGGCCCUGCUUUUGUGGGGUGCUCGAGUGGCGAAAGGGUGAGUAACACGUGAGUAACCUGCCCUUGACUUUGGGAUAACUUCAGGAAACUGGGGCUAAUACCGGAUAGGAGCUCCUGCUGCGUGGUGGGGGUUGGAAAGUGUCGGCGGUUGGGGAUGGACUCGCGGCUUAUCAGCUUGUUGGUGGGGUAGUGGCUUACCAAGGCUUUGACGGGUAGCCGGCCUGAGAGGGUGACCGGCCACAUUGGGACUGAGAUACGGCCCAGACUGCUACGGGAGGCAGCAGUGGGGAAUAUUGCACAAUUGGCGGAAGCCUGAUUCAGCAACGCCGCGUGCGGGAUGACGGCCUUCGGGUUGUAAACCGCUUUCGCCUGUGACGAAGCGUGAGUGACGGUAAUGGGUAAAGAAGCACCGGCUAACUACGUG
rnacentral:rRNA from 1 species